GCGCCCAUCGUCUAGCGGUUAGGACGCCGCCCUUUCACGGCGGAAACAGGGGUUCGAUUCCCCUUGGGCGUACC
rnacentral:tRNA from 1 species